UACGGGGGGAGCAAGCGUUGUUCGGAUUUACUGGGCGUAAAGGGCGCGUAGGCGGCGCGACAAGUCACUUGUGAAAUCUCUGGGCUCAACCCAGAACGGUCAAGUGAUACUGUCGUGCUAGAGUGCGGAAGGGGCAACUGGAAUUCUUGGUGUAGCGGUGAAAUGCGUAGAUAUCAGGAGGAACACCGGUGGCGAAGGCGGCUUCCUGGACCGACACUGACGCUGAGGCGCGAAAGCUAGGGGAGCAAACGGG
rnacentral:rRNA from 1 species